UACGUAGGGUGCGAGCGUUGUCCGGAAUUAUUGGGCGUAAAGAGCUCGUAGGCGGUCUGUCGCGUCGGUCGUGAAAACUUGGGGCUUAACCCUGAGCUUGCAGUGGGUACGGGCAGACUAGAGUGCGGUAGGGGAGACUGGAAUUCCUGGUGUAGCGGUGAAAUGCGCAGAUAUCAGGAGGAACACCGGUGGCGAAGGCGGGUCUCUGGGCCGUAACUGGACGCUGAGGAGCGAAAGCAUGGGUAGCGAACAGG
rnacentral:rRNA from 1 species